rnacentral:rRNA from 1 species
UAGGGAAUAUUAGUAAUGGGCGAAAGCCUGAACUAGCAACACCGCGUGUGCGAAGAAGGCCUUCGGGUUGUAAAGCACUUUUUGAGAGGAUGAGGAAGGACAGCACUCUUAGAAUAAGCCUCGGCUAACUACGUGCCAGCAGCCGCGGUAACACGUAGGAGGCAAACGUUAUCCGGAUUUACUGGGCGUAAAGCGCGUGUAGGUGGUACUGUAAGUAGGGCGUGAAAGCUCCUGGCUCAACUGGGAGAGGCCGUUCUAAACUACAGAACUAGAGGAUGGUAGAGGGAGGUGGAAUUCCAGGUGUAGCGGCGGAAUGCGCAGAUAUCUGGAGGAACACCAGUGGCGAAGGCGGCCUCCUGGACCAUUCCUGACACUCAGACGCGAAAGCUAGGGUAGCAAACG